GGGACUAUAGCUCAGUGGUAGAGUGCUUGCCUUGCACGCAUGAGGCACUGGGUUUGACCCU
rnacentral:tRNA from 1 species